rnacentral:lncRNA from 1 species
AGCCUGGGUGCUCCCGGUUUAUAAAUUUACAUGUCUGUUUCAUUAGGAAACUAAAUUCCAAACACCUUCCGACUACACUUGUGAAGGUCUACAGACUGUGAGGCUGAGUGAAGUGAGAGCUUGGGGAACCGCCAGGCAUGGUGGCGCUCGCCUUUAAUCCCAGCACUCGGGAGGCAGAGGCAGGGGGAUCUCUGUGAGUUCGAGGCCAGCCUGGUCUACAGAGUGAAUUCUAGGAUAGGCUCCAAAGCUACACAGAGAAACCCUGCCUUGAAAAACCAAAACAAACAAACAAACAAACAAACAAACCAAAAGAGACCGGACAAUCACUAACCCCCCCCCAAGGUGAUGUCAUCUUUCUAUGUGUCCUCAGGAGUCAACCUGCAGGAAGCCCAGACCUUCACAGCCCUGGAGUUCAGCAGUGAAGCCUGGAGCAGAAACCAACUGCAUCCACAAAGGACAGCAUCCAGGGACGGAGAAGCUGGAGUGGUGAGCUGCAGGUGGCCAUGCUAGGUCUGGCUACUGGGGAGGUUGAGGCAGGAGGCUCAAAGGUCAAGGUCUAGCUUGGGCUACA